UUGUUUACAUAUUUAAAACAAUAAAUUUCAUCAUAAAAUGAAUAAAUAAUUCACAUAUUUGGUACUUAUUGAAGAGUUAAAAGAUAUGCAUUACCAAAUACUUCAUUUGGUUUUACCUAUUAAACACAAUUACCGAGUAAAAUAAACAACAACCUAACUGACAUUGACUAUAAUUUGGCUACGACAUCCGUUUUGUGUCUAUUUUUAGAAACCACAUGGUCACAAAAUUUCUAUUUAUUUUAACUAAUCAAAUGGGUUUUAUUACAGUUUUCAAUUGAAAACGAGGCUUGAGGCAUCCAGUGGGAUGCCCAUACCAUUUAGAACAAUAGUACUGCGUAAAAAAAACAUUUGUUUUAGAAAACAAAAAUCCUUAUUUUUUGACGCGGAAAUUCAUCAUGAAGGAAUGGAUGCUUCAAAAAUCUUCACUGUUUGUUAGAUUGUAAAAAGAUUAAGCUUCAAUAUGCGACAAACCCCUUCUAAAUGGAGAAAGGCGGAUAUUUGCGUUUUUUUAUACGAAGUGAGGUACCCGUUUAGAGCCUCAAAAGAGUUAUCCCUUAUUAUCUCCCUUAGCGCACGCGCACAUGAUUUCAAUGGCGGCAACUAGAAAGUUACUGACAAGGCAACCAAUUUUCCAUUUGCAUUUUUUGCUUCGUUAACGCCUGUGAUACGUCAGGAAAUGUUCCAGGCUUUCCCACUUGGUUUAACAUUAAAUAUAGCGGGGAUCGAGCGGUCUAUACGUAUGAGCUACUGGUGGAUCAGAAAAUUGGAUGUUUGAAACUGCUUGUUUAAGGGCUGUGUAUAUUGCCAGAUACAGACAAGAUGCACUCUGACGAGAGGACUACUAAUGGAUGGGUUGCAGAGAUGCAGAUAUCAAAGUGUAUAGACUUAACUGGUCAUAAAAUAGAUAUAGUUAAAUUUAUGUUGUUGCUUUUUCAGUGAGAUGUUGUUGGAUCAAAUCUGUAGAUGACUGUUCACUUAAAGUACAAAAACUAUGUUUGGACAUUUGGGGGAAAAAACAACACAAAAACAGUAUGGAUGAUAAAGCACAAAGAUAUGUAUUAAGAUUCGUGCCUUCCUUGUGUUUGAUGUGGCUUUAUUGUUUGAAUUAUUAUAUCUUAUUUUCAUAUGGAAUGACUAUUUUUCCAUAAUAUGUCUAUGUGUUGUCAAUAUUAUGAAUAUAUGAUGCAUUAUGAAAUAAAUAGUUGGCACUGAAAUGUUAAAACUAAGUUUUCUCAGAAUAAAGUCUUACAUUUAAGC